UACAUAUAUGUAAAGAAUUAUAUAUAUGUUAUAUAUAUUAUACUUUAUAUCAUUUUUAAAAUAUUUUUAUGAAUUAAAUUUAUUAUAUUAGGUACUAGAAUUUAAAAGGUUAUAUAAUGUUUUAUUUUUGUAAUAAAAUGUUAUUAUUAAAUUAUUUUAAAAUUUUAUUUUAUUUACGAAUCAAAUCAGAUAUUCUUUAAAAUUAUAAAAUAUUUCGGAUAUCCGAGUCACCAAAUAUCUAGGUGGUUAAAUAUCGAAUCGACAAUAAUGCUUUCAAAUACCCAGAUAUUUGAUAUGUGCCCAUCCCUAUUUACGAAUAUAUUUUUAUUUCCUUUAUAUGAAAAAUGACUAAUGUCAAGAUCUUUUUUAUUUUAAAUUAAUUUUAAUUUUAUCUUUCAUAUAUUAUUUUGAACAAAAAUGUCAUUUAAUAUUAAUUAACAAUAUCUUUAUAUAUUUUUCAACUAUUUUUAUAUACUUUUUACAUAAACAUACAUGUGCACCUUGAUGUGAGCACCUUCUAACUAAGUAUUAACCACAACUGAAAUAUCUAAUUUUUUUGAAAGUUGAAAUAUUUUUUCUUAAUGUUUCUUUCACUACCGACCAAAUUGUAAUGAAUUGAUUUAUCUUAAUAAUAUUCUUUUCUAUUUCUUAAACUAUUAUCUGUUUAAAAACUCUAAUAUGAAACUAUUAGUUCGACAUAACGACUAUCUAAAAUUCAUAAUAUGAAAAUAAACAAAUAAUAACAUUUAAUCGAAUAAACUAAAAUGAAUAUUAAUUUAAAAUCAUAGUUAUAUUUUAGAAAAUUAAAAACAAAAAAAAAGGUAAAACCUAACCAAUAUCCAGAUUAAACAAAUUUAAUGUUUUUCUAUUAAAAAUAACGAAACUAAUAAUCACAUCCCGCGCAAGGCGCGGGUUAUUACCUAGUAUUUAUUAAUAGAUAUUAUUCAACUCUAAAGAGAAAUUACUUUAAAGGCCAUUAACUGGAUACCAAUUUUCAAAAAUAUCAUAGCAUUUGGGUUUAUAGUUUAGUGAUUAUUGUUUAGAGUUUAGUAUUUAUGAGGUGAGAUUGAGUUUAUAAACUUCUAUAAAUAAUUCUUAAACAUUUAUAAAUGAUUUAGGAGUGUUAGUUUAAUAUUUUUAAUCACAAAUUUAGGAUAUUUAUAAAUAGUCAUUUUUAGAAAUAAAUUUAAAAUUAAGUUUGUGGUAAAAUUAGAAUUCUCCCAACUUUAAACUACUUUUGAUAAUUUGAUCUUACAUUGUAAGAUAUGAAUUCGAUGAUAUAUUUACCUGAAAAAUUAUUUUAAUAUUUCGAAAGAUAUAUAAUAUAAUAAUAAUUUUAGUUUUAAUGGUGCAGCUCUUAAAAUGAUAUAUGAAUUAAAAGGAUAUGUUUGAUGUUUUUUUAUAAUAUGUGUUAAAAAAAAUUAAAAUCAUACUUUAUGAACGGAGAUGUGUUAGAUUAAUACUAUACAUGGUGUUUACUAAUGCAUGUGUAUAUACUUUGAUCAUUUUUAGUAUGUGUUAAUAUUUUAUGAAAUGAGAAUAAAUAUAUGUAUAUAUACAGUAAGAUUAGUCACUGUAAAUAAUAUUUAAUGAUUAUAUAACUCGUAAUUACUAAAUAGAAAUGUAUAAACGUUUUGAAUAUAGAGUAGUAGUACUAGUAGCAGAGCCCAACCACAACCAAAACAUAUAUCCACUUUUCUUUUUCUAGAAAGUAUAAAAGAGAUAGACUUGAUCUAUUAUUAUUGAGCCAAAAUUAUCAUCAUAUGUGUAAAGGGGGUAUAUAAGCAGUCUACCUCGAAACAUAUUUGCUAUACAAACCAUAGGCUACUCAAAGUACGUCAACUCACUUAAUAAGUAGUCAAACCCUAACGAGUUUUUACGUGUAUAAUAUAAAUAUGAAUUUUUACUAUCUCCAUAAUGUGAACAAAUUCAAAUGAUAGUUGACUUACAAUCAUCAAGCUCGUAACUGCAAAUAUAUAUAGCCAACUAUGAACCCCCUCUAAUAUCAUGCCACGUUCAAAAUUCUAUCACGUAUGAUACAUAUCAAGAGCGUAUGGUCCCGUACAAAAUGCCUCUUCAUAAUAAUUAUAAAAUGACUCAAUCGACAAUAAUUUGUAAUUCACAUAAAAAGUACACUUAGUAACUAAAUGUUAAAAUACAAUUAAAUAAUACACCGCCCAUUAUAGUAUUGAGCGAAUUCGAAUUGGCAGAUUUCUUACCUUUGAAAUCAUUGUUGUGAUAUUCGUUCUACCAUCGACAUGUGGCAGAGACCUAAUUAGAAAUUGGGACCACAGAGUAGCAAUACGAUAAAAUAUUGCUUUUAAGGUGGGCCCAUAACAUACCUAACACCUUUUGAGUAAUUUGUUCUGUCGUAAUGUGCGAAGCAUGUCCUGUCCAAGAUCGUCGCUUUCCAUAUCUGGAGAAGGCAAGGUGUUCUGAUCUCUACCGUACAUGUGUGCAUGCUUCCACGUCAAUAGAUUAGUGGGUAGUGCAAUCAAAGAGGAUUGUAAAAUGUCAAUCGCUCGGUGUGCAAUGAGUGAUGGAAUGGUUUCGAAGUUUUAAGAAUGUUUAGGUGUUCGAAUACGAACGUUGGAAAAGCUCUAGAGCAUCGAAGUUUUAGCUUAAGAGUACUAAAAACAUAUAUAUGUACAUAAUUGCAGAGUUUUAAACUUUACGAAAAACAUAACCCAAAAUACUCCACAAAAAUAUUUUAGAUUGAGUUUUCCGUAAAGUUUAGAACCUCGCAAUUAUACACAUAACAAUGUAUAUAUAUACACAUAUAUGUAUUUUUAGAACUCCUAAAUUAAAAAUUUCCAUUAGAAAUGCUUUUAGUGACAAAAUCUCUUAUUCGGCAACCGAGUUUUUUUUUUCUUUCGGAAAGGGCAUUACAUACAAUAAAGAGUUGAUAUAGUGGAUAACAUUUUUAGAUCACUUAGUAAAAAAUUAAAAGGUUAUGAAUUCAAUUUUGCUAGAAAAUGUCUGUUCUUCUGAAUAUAGUUAUAGUUUAACAUGAUCUGAAUUUCGCCAUUAGAAGAUGUACAAGCUUUUGGAUUCCGAAUUUAAUUUCUAGUCAUCCAAAAAGAGAGAAGUUCAUAUUUCGAGGUAAUUUCUGAUAAUACAUAAAGAAUUGUCUAGUCCAAUUUAGCGAUGAAAAAAGCCAAGCCACCUCACAUUCAUACAUUGAUUCAUAGCCUUCUGAAAUGACACACCAGUUAAUAUUUGCACUUCUUAUAGCCCUUGCAAUCCCCGUCAAAUAGAUUAACCAAUUUUACCCGAAAUAGAUUAACCAGUUUUACCCGAAAUAUAUUCAAAGGAUAUAUAUUAAGCAACAGUCUUUUCCCAUAAGAAAAAAAAACAAAAAAAACUAGACAAUUCUCUCUUUUAAUUAAGUACCCAGAAAACUAUAAAAUUCUCACCUAUGAGUUAAUUUCUAGUUUCUUAUAGAGAAUAGAUGGGUUAUUAAUACUUUACCGUAUCCAUAUAUUUGAAAACUAAUUCAAAAUCUAUCCUAACUAGUCUGGAUCAUUGCAUAGAUUCUUCCUUACAAUUCGUUCAUACCUAUAAUAUUAUGAUUUUGUUUAAAAAUAUAUAAAUGGACAACAUGCAAUUGACGACUUACGUGGUCGAUCUUCACAAGCCGACAUCGAAACUCUGAAAAUGAUGGUUUCUAAUACCCUAAGGAAACGGACAACAUAUACUUUAGAAGACAGUCCAGACAUGUUAAGUCAAAAUGUUUGGGUUGAUUAAAAGAUUUAGUAGAUCAGAUUAUAUACGAUUCGUUGAGUUUGUUCUUAAAAUUAAAUAAGUUUAUGUUGGCAGAGGCUUAGUGUCAUAGCUAAACCCAAUAGUUAGAAACCCAUGUGUAUUGAGAUUCUAGUCAUACACGCACAAUAAUUUUUUGUUAUCAAACAUGCACAACAAUCUUUUUACUAAAAGUUCUACAAAAAGUCUUACUAAUAAUUAUUCAAUGAGGUAUCGUAAGCUAUGUAACAUACAAUUUAAUGUAACAUAAAAUUUUACGUAACAUAAAUUAAGUAAAUAUAUUAUUUAUUUAUAUUCAUGAAAACAUUCUAUUUGCAUUUCAAAAUUGCCAAAAAUACGAAGCUAUUAAUGAUUUUGACUUAUGCAAUCUUAAAACAGGAUAUCGAUGCACUACAAGAAAACAGGGGGAUUCUGAUGGCCGAAAUCGUCAGAAAUUCGUCGGAAUAGACCGAUCCUGACGAAUUUCUGACGAACCAAUCCGUCGGUAUAAUUUCGUCGGAAAAAAAAGAUUCGUCGGAAUUUCGUCAGACCUUCCGACGACUUUCUGACGAAUACCGAGAAACGUCAUUCUGACGAACUUCCGACGAUAUUCCGAUGCGGACACACGAGACCAGAGUUCAUCG